rnacentral:lncRNA from 1 species
CUGUAAUUGAAUCAAGUGACACAACCUUUGUAAAGUCCUUAACACGGUGCCCUUACCGGCUGUUCCUUGUAAAAUGGCCCCUUUGGGGAUGCCCUUUGACUGGAGCAUUUGGAUCCCAGUGAGGCCAAGGGGCACCAAGCACCGCCAUUGAAUCCUCCAUAGCCCAGCCUGCCAGCCUGAGUUCUGUUCCUUUGGGACACAGCUAUCAGCCCACAGAGCAGCCGGAAUUGAAGGGGAGUGGGCAGGGAGAUUUCUGGAAAUCACAUCAAGGGCCUCCCGCUCUCUUCAGAGCCAGAUGGACCGAUGUGGCGGAGAGGCAUUUAAGGAGAUUCCAAGCCUGCUGGAUUCUGGAUCCAAGAGGGAGUCCUCAGUUCCCCGCUGGAAGCAGGAGAGUCCCCGGAGCUCCAGCCCACCCGAGCACUUCCAGAAAUCCAUCAGAGACAAGACAACCCUCUGACGCUUUUAUCUGGCACCUUCCAGCUGCUGGAUACUGGAGGGGAAAAGGCAAAGGAAAACAGUGCCCUGGCCUAGGCAGGGGAGCUUAACAGUCUACCUUUUAAUCCAUGUCCACAGCCAUAAAAUGCUAUGGGCACUAGGCAAGAGCUCCUGUGGGGGAAGGUUUCAAUGCAAGCAGAAGGAACAUUUUAGGACCCUUAGAGAGCUCUUCUCAAGGAAAAUGGGUCACCUUGAGAAGUAGUGCUCUCCCCACCUCCCUGCAAGGGCUUCAAGUAAAGGCUGCCUAACUCCUUGUUGGGAAUAUUGGACAGGCCACUCAGAUUUGAGCUCAAGGCGGCCUGGACUGCUUUGGGCCCUCGGCUCUAUUGAUUCUGUGAGCUUUACUUUUGCUGGGGUGUUAGAAAAGCAGGAAGGGUCCCUAGAGAGUGUCCUGGCCACCGUACUCCUUUUCCAGAGAAGGACCAGGGAAGGUAGGGCAGCAGAGGCCUCAGGGCAGGGAGGCCAUGAUUCCCAACCCUAUACUCGACUGGCUGCAAGGUUCAAACACAGGAGCUUUCCCAGAAAAGGGCAUCCACCAAUGGACCUGUCUUCUCUGAGGGCUGAAUUGACUUCCAACAUGGAGACGAGAUCACACUCAGACUGUCCCCCAAUGCGCGGGCAAUGGCUAGUACCAAAUACUAAGGCGGCAGCAGAGCUAGACAGUGGAGCUGUGAUUUCUUUGACAGCCAAGGUAUUUCAUAUUGGUGUAUCGAGGAUGAGCAGUGGAAACAGCUGUACCAUGGCAGGGAGGUGGAAGGGAGGAGAGGAAGUCCCUGAUUUGGAACAGGAGGGAGAGAAAGCAAAAUUGGAAAAAGAUGACAACAGUGAGAGUUGA